UACGUAGGAGGCGAGCGUUGUCCGGAUUCACUGGGCGUAAAGGGCGCGUAGGCGGCGGCUUGAGUCCCUGCGUGAAAUCUCCCGGCUCAACCGGGAGGGUGCGCGGGAUACUGGGCGGCUUGAGGACAUCAGAGGAGAGCGGAAUCCCCGGUGUAGUGGUGAAAUGCGUAGAUAUCGGGGGGAACACCAGUGGCGAAGGCGGCUCUCUGGGGUGCACCUGACGCUGAUGCGCGAAAGCGUGGGGAGCAAACAGG
rnacentral:rRNA from 1 species